GUGCUCGCUGCGGCAGCACAUAUACUAACAUUGGAACGAUAUGGAGAUUAGCAUGGCCCCUGCGCAAUGAUGAUGUGCAAAUUCGUGAAGCGUUCCAUAUUUAA
rfam:Myotis davidii contig163856, whole genome shotgun sequence.